CUGACGAGUGGCGGACGGGUGAGUAACGCGUAGGGAUCUGUCUAGGAGUGUGGGACAACACGGGGAAACUCGUGCUAAUACCACAUACGCUCUACGGAGGAAAGGCUGGAUUUAUCCAGUCGCUCUUAGGGGAACCUGCGUUGGAUUAGCUUGUUGGUGGGGUAAAAGCCUACCAAGGCUACGAUCCAUAGCUGUUCUGAGAGGAAGAUCAGCCACAUUGGGACUGAGACACGGCCCAAACUCC
rnacentral:rRNA from 1 species